CCUAACUUUGAUGAUAGUAAUCAAUUGAGUUAAAGGAUACACACGACAUAUUGUUUAGAGAUUAUUAAUAUUUUAAUUUUAAUUUUAUAAAUGGCUUCUGGCAACACAUAAAAGUUAAUAAUUAUUAAAUUGAACUUUUAUUUAUAAAGUGAUGAAGAAACUCUAUUUAUUAAAUACAAAAGAGAAAAAAUAUGGCUCAACUAUUCAAUUUUGUUUAUAUUUUGAUCAUCUUUUUUUCUCUAUUUCUUGUUGAAGCCGGUAGAGGUGAAAGUGGAUAUACGACUAUUCCUUGUACUGAGAACACUGUGGAAAAAGAUUGUCCAUAUAGAGUUAAUUGUAUUCGUAGGUGCGUUUAUGGAUUUUGCGAUUACAUGAGUACGAGUAAAUGAGAUUUUCUCAAAUGUUUUAAUUUGCAGUGACUUUAUGUAAAUUCCUAUGAGAUUACAACAUGAAUAAAUAUGUUAAAUAUCAAUAUCACCAUUCUAAUGAA